rnacentral:snRNA from 1 species
AGCUUUGUGCAAUGGCAGUAUUGUAGCCAAUAAGGUUUAUCUGAGGCGCAAUUAUUGCUAAUUGAAACCUGUUGGGUGUGGUGGUGCAUGCCUGUAGUCCCAGCACUUGGGGGUUGAGGCAGGAGGAUCGCCAUAAGU